UACAGAGGUCUCAAGCGUUGUUCGGAUUCAUUGGGCGUAAAGGGUGCGUAGGCGGCGCGGUAAGUCGGUGUGAAAUCUUGGAGCUUAACUCCGAACUGCAUUCGAUACUGCCGUGCUUGAGGACUGGAGAGGAGACUGGAAUUUACGGUGUAGCGGUGAAUGCGUAGAUAUCGUAAGGAAGACCAGUGGCGAAGGCGGUCUCUGGACAGUUCCUGACGCUGAGGCACGAAGGCCAGGGAGCAACGG
rnacentral:rRNA from 1 species